AGAGAAUAAGCAAUGGAAUCUGUAGAAGAUCACCAGCCAGCUUACUUUAACAUUUAGCUGAUGAGUCUUUAAGUAUGUUUCCCAUCAGGGUACAACUUAGCUUGAAAAGUAGAAAUUAUACAGAGAUUAUACAGGAUAAAUAACAGUUCCUGCAAAACAAGACAGUUUGGGAUAUUGUGGAAACCUGAAGCAUACUGAAAGUGCCUUUAAAAGGAGAUGCUGAUUUUAAUUGGAGGGAAUGGUACACAAGCCUGCUAAAUAGAGUAUUUGGUCUAAUUAAUCAGCAGCUAUGUUCACGAUUGGGUAUGGACGUCUGGAAAGGCCUUUGCUCCUUAAUAUGUCCAAGGGUUUAAAAGUCUGAGGCAAGUCCAAGUUCACUGACUAAAGACUGCUGGAUAUAUAAGACUGUAACCACCCCUUUUAUCCCACUACUAUGACCUCAAAAGAAAGACUUGUCAAAAAGCAUUCAUAGUAACAGCAUAUGUGAAUAUUUUCACUGUUUAAAGUCUGCCACUUAUUCCUUUGUACCACUCUCGUUGCUUUCCUGAGAUCACAUUAAACUCAGCUGAGCAUAAAAUGCAAAGGAAAAGUGACCCUGAAAGGUCCCUUUUAAGCACUCUAUGCUUCCCUGACUCAUUUUAAUGUGGCUGCCACGUGGUUCAGUAGCUGCAUAAGUGCAUGUGCUUGUUUAGUCCUGCCGUAAAUGUUUCAUCUCUCCCAGGAAGAUAAAAGGACUGCCCCCUUAUAUUGACUCCAAAAUUAUUAUUACUUUCAAAAAAUAUAUAUAUUUUGUACAUAAGCCUCCCUUCCAUGAAUGUGAAGGGAGAUGGCAGUAUCAAGACA
ensembl:lncRNA